UACGUAGGUGGCAAGCGUUGUCCGGAUUUACUGGGCGUAAAGAGCGCGCAGGCGGUCGAAUAAGUCGAAUGUGAAAGCCCCCGGCUCAACUGGGGAGGGUCAUUCGAUACUGUUCGACUUGAAGGCAGGAGAGAGAAGCAGAAUUCCCGGUGUAGUGGUGAAAUGCGUAGAUAUCAGGAGGAACACCGGUGGCGAAGGCGGGUCUCUGGGCAGUAACUGACGCUGAGGAGCGAAGGCGUGGGGAGCGAACAGG
rnacentral:rRNA from 1 species